rnacentral:snoRNA from 1 species
GUACUGACGCCGACUACGUUCUUUCUCCUGAGACCCAGUGAGCACUGGAUGCACACAGCAGCCACCUGGGGAGUGUCUACAGCCUGAUCUGAUGCUUUUGCAGGCUUCCCCGAGGGACCUGGAGACAGCC